rnacentral:lncRNA from 1 species
UCUCUGGAGCUCAUGGAUCUGCACACAAGGUGCAGGAAGUAUAGGGUGAGUCUACCAACUCAGUGAGUAAUAAGCAUGUAUAAAAACCCGAAGAUAAGAAAACACGAAAAUAACACAAAAAGAAGCUAUCUAGCAGUUCUACAAAGUACAAGCCUCAGUGAUAUACAGAUAAAGCAACAGUAAAUGAAUGCAUGAGGUGUGAUGCAAUGCAUCAACACUGCGGAACGUGCAGCCCGAUCCAUUUGGGUACCCCGCGCUCACUGUAGGGGUUCAAACUCCGGAGGGGCUCCUACAAGCCAAGUGUCAUAUCAUAGUAUCAUACAGUGCCAAUAGUUACACAGUUUCCAUUUCAAUACACGGUGCCAAUAGAUACCACCGUUUCUAUAUCAAAACACGAUGCCAAUAGUUAUCACCGUUUCCAAGAAAUAAUAUACAAUCCAGAAAAUAGUGGAAUCAUGAUCGUCAGCCUGAAAUAUCAUUUAAGAAUUAUUUGAGUUUUCAAAACAUAGAAAUACGGCUGAGUUGGUAAAAAUAAUGUUUAAAACCCUGGAUUAGAUUCAAAUAAUAUGCAAAUCAUGUUAACUAUGAUAUAUCAAUCUCUAAAGGAUUAUACAACUCGGCACAGAGCCCGAAACAUGGCAUCAAGCGCUAAUAUCAUCAAUAUAGUAUGCGAAGCAAUUGCCAACAAAACACAAUUUAUCCCUCGGAUGGGACCGAGUCACAAUUUUAAACAUAUGCGACCCCGCACUAGCCACGUAGUGCGUGACUAGCCUCAUAAUAGCAACACAAUGUGAUAUACCGGGGCCUUUAACCCUCAGGUCAUCAUCUAUACCCAUUACUCACCUCAAGCCGGCUACAAACUAGCUCGCAAUGCCUCUCCCUCAAGAAUCAACCUUUGCGGAUGCCAAAUCUGAAAAAAAACAAUAGGAAUACGUCACGAUAGGCUAAUGGGACAUAACCCAAUCAAAAUAACUCGAAAUACACCCAAAAACACGAAGUUGGCAAAACUCGAGCCCUGGGCCCACUUUUCAAAAAAUUACAAAAUUCACAUUUUCAGAAUCCUUGUCUCGCCACAAGUCCAUACAUAUCAAAUUUACAAGAAUCGGAGUCCAUUUAACCCCUCAAAUCAAUAUUCUAAGCUCACUUGGGUUUGAAGCACUAACACCCAUUUUUUACAUUAAAACCUUGAAUUCUUUGCGUUUAAUCCAUGAUUUUGCACUAUAAUGACAUAUUUUAGGUCCAAAAGUUCAUACCUGAUGGAUUCCCUCAAAAAUCUCUCCAGAAAUCGCCCACAAUCGCCUUAGCCCGAGGUUCCAAUGUUCUUCCCUUUAAGAUUUUGAAACCUACAAUUUCAUUAAACUAGGUCGAUUUUCGCUCCAGCAGUCCUUUUUCCGCUUCAUCGACUACUGCAUCCGCGCCCAUUUGACUUCUUCCACGGUUUAACUUAAUUCCUCAGCGACCGCUACUGCGGUCCUUGACUGCUUUCGCGACCAUCGCUCCUGCGGUCGCUUGUCCACUUCUGCGGCCCUAGCCAAAAUGCCCUUGGAAGCUUCUGCGGCCCAUCUUCCGCUUCAGCAAACACCGCCAACGCGGUCCAUUGUCCGCAAACGCGGAAAUACUAGAAUACAGACUCCCAAAUCUGAAGCAAACUCCAAAUAUUCUCGUUUAACCAUCCCGAAUCACUCCGAGGCCCCCGGGGUCCAAACCAAAAACACAAAUAUGACCAAAUACCUCAUUCAAACUUGCUCGAGUCCUGAAAACACCAACAUUAACACCAAAAUCAACACUUUCCUCAAAUCAAAGCCUAAGAUAACUUAGAGUUUUCCAAAAUCACAUUCGAUGUUGAAACCAACCAAACGAGGUCCGAAUGAGACUAUUGGUCCAUGUCCGGUUGACUUUUCCAACUUAAGAUUUCUUUAAAGAUACUAUUGGUCUCAUUUCUAACCAAAUUUAACCUAACACACUUCAAACUCACCAAACACAUAUAUAAACACAUAGGGAAGCAUAAUACGGGGAUAACGGGACUGAAAUACAAAAGACGACGGGUACGGUUGUCACAUCCUCCCCAACUAAAACAAACGCUCAUCCUCGAGCGGGUCAAGAAACUAACCUAGAGCCUCAAACAAACGUCUCUGCAUCUCCUGCUCGGUCUCCCAAGUGGCCUCCUCUACGGGCCGACCUCUCCAUUGCACCUUCACCGAAGCUAUGUCCUUUGAUCUCAACUUUCGAACCUGAUGACCCAAAAUAGCCACUAGCUCAAAGCUAUGUCCUUAGAUCACAACUUCCAAACCUGACGACCCAAAAUAGCCAUUGGCUCCACAUCAUAGGUCAAAUCAUCAUCCAGCUGGAUUGUGCUAAAGUCUAAUACAUGAGACGGGUCCUCAACAUACUUCUUGAGCAUAGAAACAUGAAACACCGGGUGAAACCCCGACAAACUGGGUGGCAAAGCAAUCAUAUAGGCAACCUCUCCAAUCCUCCUGAGUAUCUCAAUAGGUCCAAUAAACUGCGGACUCAGCUUCCCUUUCUUUCCAAACCUCAUCACGCCUUUCAUAGGAAAGACCUUCAACAGAACCUUCUCGCCCACCAUAUAAGACACAUCCUGAACCUUCCGGUCCGCAUAGCUCUUCUAACGCGACUGAGCCGUAUGAAGUCUCUCCUGGAUAACUUUCACUUUCUCUAAGGCAUCCUGAAUAACUCUGUCCCCAAUAAUCUAGCCUCGCAGGGAUCAAACCCACCGACUGGAGACCUACACCGUCUCCCACAUAAAGCCUCAUAUGGCGACAUCUGAAUGAUGGACCGACAACUAUUGUUAUAAGCAAACUCUGCAAGCGGCAAGAAAUUAUCCCAAGAACCUCCGAAAUCAAUAACACAAGCACGCAACAUGUCCUCCAAUAUCUAAAUAGUAUGACGGAACUGCCCGUCCGCCUAAGGAUGAAAAGUUGUGCUCAUCUGAAUAUGAGUGCCCAACUCCUGAUGAAAAGCCUUCCAAAACUAGGAGGAAAACUGAGUACCCCUGUUUGAGACAAUCAAAACUGGAACCCCAUGCAACCGCACAAUCUCACGGAUGAAAAUCUCUGCCAACCUCUCCGAAGAAUAGGUGGUACACACCGGAAUGAAACGCACAGACUUGGUCAGCCUAUCCACAAUCACCCAAAUGGAAUCAAAGUUCCUCGAGGUACGAGGGAGACNNNNNNNNNNNNNNNNNNNNNNNNNNNNNNNNNNNNNNNNAAGUAGAAUCAAAGUUCCUCGAAGUACGAGGGAGACCACUCACAAAGUCCAUAAUCAUCUUCUCCCAUUUCCACUCCAGAAUAUCCAUCUGCUGAAGUACACCAUCGGGUCUCUGAUGCUCAUAUUUGACAUGCUGACAAUUGAGAUACCUAGCCACAUAACUCACAAUGUCCUUUUUCAUUCUCCUCCACCAAUAAUGCUACCUCAAGUCCUGGUACAUCUUCGCCGCACCCGGAUGAAUGGAAUACCGCGAGCUAUAGGCCUCCUCUAAUAUCAUCUCUCGGAGCCCAUUAACAUUGGCCAUCCAAAUCCGGCCCUCGAUCCGCAACACACCAUCACUACCAAUAGUCACACCUCUGGCAUCAUCAUGUUAGGCCCUGUCCUUCAGGGCAAGCAAAUGCGGGUCAUCAUACUGGCGCUCCAUGAUGCUAUCAUACAAAGAAGACCGGGAAACCACACAAGCCAACACCCGACUGGGCUCUGAAAUAUCUAACCUCACCAUCCAAUUAGCCAAGGCGUGAACAUCAACUACAAGGGGCCUCUCCCCAACUGAAAUGUACGCCAAGCUACCCAUACUCACGGCCUUCCGGCUCAAAGCAUAGGCCACUACAUUGGCCUUCCCCGGGUGGUACAAUAUGGUAAUAUCAUAAUCCUUGAGUAACUCAAGCCAUCUCCGCUGUCUCAAAUUCAGAUAUUUUUGCUUAAACAAGUGCUGAAGACUGCGAUGAUCCGUAUACACCUCACAAGAUAUGCCAUAUAGAAAGUGCCUCCAAAUAUUCAAAGCAUGAACUAUAGUAGCCAACUUUAAGUGACGAACAGGGUAGUUUUUCUCAUGGGGCUUCAAUUGUCGAGAAGCAUAUGCAAUCACUCUACCUUCCUGCAUCAAAUACGUAGUCAAUCCUGACUCUCAAAGCAUCACAAUUAACGGUGUAAGAACCUGAAGCUGACAGCAAGACUAACACUGGAGCUGUGGUCAAAGCUGUCUUGAGCUUCUGAAAGCUCUCCUUGCACUCAUCGAACCAUACUCAGAAUACAUCCAAUACCAAUCCUCCAAGCAUCGCAAUAUACCGUAUAAGAACCUGAAGCUGCUGGCAAUACUAACAUUUGAUUCGUAGUCAACAAUGACUUGAGCUUAUGGAAGCUCUCCUCGCACUCAUCAGACCAUACAAAUGGUUCAUUCUUCUGCGUCAACUUCGUCAAAGGCGGAGCAAUAGAUGAAAAACCCUGAACGAACCAAUGGUAAUAACACGCCAAACCGAGGAAACUCCGAAUCUCGGAAGAUGAGGACGGUCUGGGCCAACUCUGCACCACCUCGAUCUUCUUUGGGUCAACCAGAAUACCAUCACUGGACACCACGUGUCCCAGAAAAGCCACGGAACUGAGCCAGAACUCACACUUCGAGAACUUUGCAUACAAGUUCUCCUCUCUCAACCUUUGCAAUACCACCCUCAAAUGUUGCGCGUGCUCCUCCUGGCUACGCGAGUAAACAAGAAUAUCAUUAAUAACCACAAUUAAAAAAGAAUCCAGAUAAGGCCUGAAUACAUUGUUCAUCAGGUGCAUGAAUGCUGCUACGGCAUUAGACAGCCCAAAUGAGAUAACCAGAAACUCAUAAUGCCCAUAUCUCGUCUUGAAAGUUGUCUUCAUGAUAUCGGAAUCUCUAAUCUUCAGCUGGUGAUAGCCUUAACGGAGAUCAAUCUUGGAUAAUACAUUUUCUCCCUGAAGCUGGUGAAACAAAUCCUCAAUACGGGGCAGUGGAUACUUGUUCUUUACUGUCACUUUGUUCAACUGUCUGCCCCCUGAAGUUGGUCAAACAAAUCCUCAAUACGGGUUAGUGGAUACUUGUUCUUCACUGUCACUUUAGUAAACUAUCUGUAAUCAAUGCACAUUCUUGUUGUACCAUCCUUCUUCUUUAUUAAUAACAUCGGUGUGCCCCACAGCGACACACUCGAGCGAAUGAACCCAUUAUCUAGGAGUUCCUGCAGCUGCUCCUUCAACUCCUUUAGCUCUGUUGUUACCAUAAGAUAGGGAGGAAUAGAAAUGGGCUGAGUUCCCGGUACCAAAUAAAUACCGAAGUCAAUAUCCAUGUCCGGCGGCAUGCCCGACAAGUCCGCUGGAAAUACAUCAAGAAACUCCCUCACUACGGGAACCGAAUCAAGACUAGAAGCCUCAGCUCCCACAUCCAUCACGAAUGCGAUAUAUGAUAAACAUCCCUUCCCAACCAUCCGCUGGGCCUUCAAUAAAGAGAUUACCCUGAUGGGUACAUAAUCCGUCGAACCAUUCCACACAAUACUUGGGAUACCCGGCAAUAGCCGAAGUGAAUGUUUUGGCGUGACAGUCCAGAAUAGCAUGGCACGAUGAUAGACAAUACAUGCCCAGAAUAACAUCAAAAUCCACCAUGCUCAAUAGUAGCAAGUCAGCUCGGGUCUCCAUACCCUCAAUAGUAACAAGACAAGACCAAUACACUUGGUCCACAAUGAUAGUAUCACCCAUCGGGGUAGAUACAUGCACAUACAAUGCUAGACUCCUUCGGGUAGUCCCCAAAUAAUGAGCAAAGUAAGCAGAUACAUAAGAAUAUGUAGACCCGGGAUCAAACAAAACAGAAGAGUCUAUGUGGCAAACUGAGAUAAUACAUGUGAUCACUGCAUAUGAAGCAACAGCAUCUCUCCAAUCUGGGAGUGCAUAGAAACGAGCCUGACCACCGCUCGAUCGCUCAUCCCUCCUGGGAUGGCCUCUAGAUGACUGACCCCCACCCCUACAAGACUGGGAUGGUGCUAAAGUAGAUAAAGAAGAAGAGGAAGGCUGAUCCCUCUACUGAAACCUACCACCACGAAGUCGACAACAAUGUCUCUUCAAAUGACCAAACUCCCCACACUCGAAACAACUGCCUGGAGCUGGAGAAGGGGACUGAAGGAAACCCCUCCCAGCAGAUGAACCCUGGGCUGACGAAGCUGGUUCAGAACUCUGAGCAAGGAGGGAACUGAGUGAAGACUAGCCCUGCUGGUGACCCUGACGGCCACAACCAGAAGAAGCUCCAUUGUACUUUGGGCGGCCUAACUAAGGAGGCCUAAAAGAAUGACCUAUGCCCUGAUGAAACUGGCCCCUAGAUGGAGCACCACUAUAACUUCCCGAACCUCGAGGCUUCUUGGCCUCCCUCUCCUCUCGCUCGUGACGGCGAGCCGUCUUAAUAUCGCGGGCUAUAUCCACCGCCUCCUCAAAGGUAUGACUCAGGCUCCUCUCUCGAGUCAUCAGAAUACGAAUGGGAUAAAUGAGCCCGUCCACAAAUUGUCUAAUCCUCGCUUGAUCGGUCUGGACCAUCCACGGAGCAUAACGAGCUAACUCUGCAUAUCUCAUCUCAUACAGCAUCACAGACAUAUCCCCCUAGCGAAGCAACUCAAACUGUCUGCGCAACUCCUCCCUCUGCGACCGAGGUAACCACUUCUCCAAAAAGAUAGUGGAGAACUCCUACCAAGAUAAGGGUACUGAACCUGCCGUCCUAUGCUGCUCAUAUGCCAACCACCAGGCGAAGGAUGCUCCUGAGAACUGAAAAGUGGUAAAAGAUACCCCACUAGUCUCUAAGAUCCCUGUUGUCCUGAGCAUGCGUCGACACUUGUCAAGAAACCCCUGGGCAUCCUCGCCCGAAACACCGCUAAAAGUCGGAGGUGAAAGCCUGCUAAACCUCUCCAGACGACGCUGAUCGUCAUUUGGAAUCACCGGUACCCCAUCACCUUGAACUGGAACAACUGGUUGUACAUGGGCAACUGGCUGAACUGGUGGUGCCUCUAGGGUCUGCAAACCCUGUGCACCCUGCUCUAGAAUGCAAGCUACGGCGAGUUAGCCGAGAAUUAGCUGCUACAGUGGUAGCUGAUACCACCUGAGCUAACCCGGUACAGACGGAUAAGAUCUGAGCCAACGUCUCCUGGAGACCCGGUAUCACAAUGGGCAUUGCUGGUGCCUGAGUAGGUGCAGCUGGGACAUCCACAGCUGGAGGAUGGUCCUGAAUCUGAACAGAUGGUGGGUCUUCACGUGCUGUCUCCACUGGUCCAUCUCGACCACGACCGCGGCCACACCCAAGGCCUCUAGCAGGUGGCACUAGUGGUCGUCUUCCACGUCCGAUAGCACGGGUUCUCUCCAUCUGCGAGAGAAUAGAAUAAGAAGUUUCAGUUCUCAAAUGAACAAAGCCACACGAUAAGAAUUCCAAGAAAGUGAAGUGUUUCCAUAAGUUCUAUAGCCCCUCGAGGAUAUGAUACGGACGUCUACGUACCGAUCCGUGUGACUCUACUAAACUGGCUCAUAAUUCGUGAGGCCUAGCAACCUAGGCUCUGAUACCAACUUGUCACGACCCUAACCCCGAUCGUGAUGGCGCCUGGCCACAAGGAUAGGCAAGCCCAACCAAACCAAUUCCAAAGAACGGCCUUCCAGCCCAAAAAGAGAUACAACUUUAGGGUAAAACAUCAAUUUUUUUGAAAUAUAAACUCCCAACCAGGGAUAAGCAAUACGGUGGAAAACACAUAUGAGCCAACAUCACUCCCUAAACCUUGGGGUCAAGAGUACAGAGCCUCUAACAAUACCGAAUACAAGUCUGAAAGGAAAUGAUACAAAUGUUUGACAAAACUAUAAAGGAAACAGACUGAAUGAGACAGAGUACGCGGUCCUGCUGACGCUGGCCAGCUACCUCAAUACUCUGAUACAUCGGAUAGCAACAGCAACAGCACUAGAUCUCUGGAGCUCCUGGAUCUGCACACAAGGUUCAGGAAGUAUAGGGUGAGUCUAUCAACCCAGUGAGUAAUAAGCAUGUAAAAAAACCCCGAAGAUAAGAAAACACAAAAAUAACACAAAAUGAAGCUAUCUAGCAGUUCUAUACAAUACAAGCCUCAGAGAUAUACAGAUAAAGCAACAGUACAUAAAUGCAUGAGAUGCGAUGAAAUGCAUAAACACUACGAAACGUGCAUCCCGAUCAUUUGGGUACCCGCGCUCACUGUGGGGGUUCAGACUCCGGAGGGGCUCCUACAGCCCAAGCACCAUAUCAUACAGUGCCAAUAGUUACCACUGUUUCCAUUUUAAUACACUGUGCCAAUAGUUACCACCGUUUCUAAGAAAUAAUAUACAGUCCAGAAAAUAGUAGAAUCAUGAUCGUCAGCCCGAAAUAUCAUUAAAGAAUUAUUUGAGUUUUUAUAACAUAGAAAUACGGCUGAGUUGGCAAAAAUAGUGCUUGAAACCCAGGACUGGAUUCAAUGAUAUGCAAAUCAUGCUAACUCUGAUAUAUCAAUCCCUCAAGGAUUCUACAAGUCGGCACAUGGCAUCAAGCCCUGAUAUCAUCAAUAUAGUAUGCGAAACAAUCGCCAACAUAACACAAUUUAUCCCUCGGAUUGGACCGAGUCACAAUUUUCAACAUAUACGACCCCGCACUAUCCAUGGAGUGCACGUCUAGACUCAUAAUAGCGUCACAAUGUGAUAUAAUGGGGUCUCAGGUCAUCAUCUACACCCAUUACUCACCUCAAGCCGGCCGCAAACUAGCUCGUAAUGCCUUUCCCUCGAGAAUCAACCUUCGCAGAAGUCAAAUCUGAACAAAACCAAUAGGAAUACGUCACAAUAGGCUAAUGGGACAUAACCUAAUCGAAAUAACUCAAAAUAAACCCAAAAAUACCCAGGGCCCACUUCUCAAAAAAUUACGAAAUUCAAUUUUCAGAAUCAUCGUUUCGCCACGAGUCCAUACACAUCAAAUUUACGAGAAUCAGAGUCCAUUUGACCCCUCAAAUCAACACUUUAAGCUCACUUGGGUUUCAAGCCCUAACCCCCAUUUUUGAAAUUAAAAAACUUGAAUUCUUUGUGUUUAAUCCGUGAUUUUACACUAUAAUGACAUAAUUUAGGUCCUUGAGUUCAUACCUAAAGAAUUCCCUCAAAAAUCUCUCCAACAAUCGCCCACAAUCGCCUUCAAUGCUUUAACACUACAAUGAUAUACUUUAGGUCGAAGAGUUCAUACCUGAUGAAUUCCGCCAAAAAUCUCUCCAGAAAUCGCCCACAAUUGCCUUAGCCCGAGGUCCACUGUUAUUCCCUUUUAAAAUUUUAAACCUAUUGUUUCGUUAAACCAGAUCGAUUUCCGCUCGAGCGAUCCUUUUUCCGCUUCAGCAACUCUCGCUUCCGCGCCUAUUUGACCGCUUCCGCGGUUUAACUUAAUUAUGCAGCGACCGCUUCUGCGGUCCUUGACCGCCUCCGCGACCAUCGCUCCUGCGGUCGCUUGUCCGCUUCUGCAGCCCUAGACAAAUUGCCCUUGGCCUCUUCUACGACCCAUCUUCUGCUUCAGCGGUCCAUUGUUCGCAAACGCGAACAUACCUGAAGAACGACUCCCAAAUCUGAAACAAACUCCAAAAAUUCUCGUUUAACCAUCCGGAAUCACUCUGAGGCCCCCGGGGUCCAAACCACAAACACAAAUAUGACCAAACACCUCAUUCAAACUUUCUUGAGCCUUAACAUUAACGCCAAAAUCAUCACUUUCCUUAAAUCAAAGCCUAAGAUAACUUAGAGUUUUCCAAAAUCACAUUCGAUGCCGAAACCACCAAACGAGGUUCGAAUGACCUGAAAUUUUGCACACAUAUCCAAAUUCACCUAACAAGAUACUACAACUCUUGUAAUUCCAUUCCGAACCUCGAAUAAAAUUCCCACCUAUCAAUCGGAAUUCGCCGAAAUUCAACUUCGCCAAUUCAAGCCUAAUUCUACACCGGACCUCAAAAUUCAAUUUCGUUUUCUCUCCCAAGUCACAAAUCAUCCCCGAAACUAGCGGAAUCAUCGAAAAUUCGUUCCGGGCCCUCUAAAUCUCAAGUCCAUGUCCGGUUGACUUUCCAACUUAAGAUUUCUUUAAAGAGACUAUUUGUCUCAUUUCUUACCAAAUUCAACCUAACACACUUCAAACUCACCAAACACAUAUAUCAACACACGGAAAAGCAUAAUACGGGGAUAACGGAGCUGAAUAAAGACGACGGAUCGGAUCGUCACAAGACAUGGACAAGGCUUCCUCCCUUUAUUUCAAGAACGCCAAGUUCAAGCGAAAUAGAGAAAAGAAUACAUGCCAACUAAUCAAAUUCCAGAGAAUAAAUGAAGUGCUAAUAUAACUUCAAAUUAACUGAACAUCAUAAUGUCACAUAAGACAACUUCAUAUUCCCCAAUGAAAUGAUAUAAUAAAAAAAUAUUAUUUUCAUUAAGAAAGUCCUAAGAAUCUUUCGUGCAACAUAUCUACUUCACAUGAAAAUAACAAAAAUCAGGAAUCGAGCGGAUCUUCAAGUUUUAAGCAAGAACUCAAUUGUCUAAUCAUUUACUAAAAAUAAUAAUACAGUGAAUCUUCAAAACUAACCUGGCUGAACAAGAAAACUUAAAUAAAUUGACUAAAAGCUUAGACAAACUCGGUCGAAGCUCAGCAAAAAUUUCAGCAAUCAACAGCAGCAAAUCCCACUUCUCAAACUUGUUCGAAUUUAAAUUUCCAGAAAAAAGUUGAGCAAAAGAGUAGAAUCUUAAGCUAGCUUGGUUUCAAGGCUCUUCCGUGGCUGAUUUUCCAGCAGUAACACAACCGUUAUAGGGCUGGUUUAAGGUCAGUUUUGAGCUUAAUUUAAGGGUUGUUCGAGCUAUAUUUUGGAGCUUCAUUUGAGCUGCUUUUAGCAGGAUUUUAGAGUUGAUUUGAUGGUGUUUUAACACUGAUUUUGGGUCAAUUUUGAACUCGUUUUUUGGAGAUGUUCGGAGGUCAUUCUUUGGGUGAAUCCGGGCUCAUUUUUGGGUUGGUUUUGUGGUGGGAGAGAGCUGGUUCUAAUGGGGGUUUAUGGUGGUCUUUGGGUGAAAUUUACAUGGUAAUUUGUAAUGUUUUAAUGGUUGAUCGUCGAAGUGGGUGUUAAUGGAGGUUUUCAAGUAGGUUUCAUUGAGGAAAGAUGGUGAUUUUCAUGGCUUUUUGUGUUGUGAAGAUGAUGACGGGUUGAAGAGAAAGAAGAGAUGAUGCUCCAUUAUCCUCUUCAAGGACAAAAAAAGGUGAAAUUAUCGUCUAGGUCUCCUUUCUAACGGGUAGGGUCUGUUAGGUAUAUAGAAUUAGG